rnacentral:rRNA from 1 species
CCUACGGGUGGCAGCAGUGGGGAAUAUUGGACAAUGGGGGGAACCCUGAUCCAGCCAUGCCGCGUGUGUGAAGAAGGCCCUCGGGUUGUAAAGCACUUUCAGUGAGGAAGAACGCCUGGUGGUUAAUACCCAUCAGGAAAGACAUCACUCACAGAAGAAGCACCGGCUAACUCCGUGCCAGCAGCCGCAGUAAUACGGAGGGUGCGAGCGUUAAUCGGAAUUACUGGGCGUAAAGCGCGCGUAGGUGGCUUGAUAAGCCGGUUGUGAAAGCCCCGGGCUCAACCUGGGAACGGCAUCCGGAACUGUCAAGCUAGAGUGCAGGAGAGGAAGGUAGAAUUCCCGGUGUAGCGGUGAAAUGCGUAGAGAUCGGGAGGAAUACCAGUGGCGAAGGCGGCCUUCUGGACUGACACUGACACUGAGGUGCGAAAGCGUGGGUAGCAAACAGGAUUAGAUACCCUAGUAGUC